UCCGGGUUGGACCCGGCGGUCCCGGACAUGUCAAGGGCUGGUAAGGUUCUGCGCGUUGCGUCGAAUUAAACCACAUGCUCCACCGCUUGUGCGGGCCCCCGUCAAUUCCUUUGAGUUUUAAUCUUGCGACCGUACUCCCCAGGCGGAAUGCUUAAAGCGUUAGCUGCGCCACUAGUGAGUAAACCCACUAACGGCUGGCAUUCAUCGUUUACGGCGUGGACUAC
rnacentral:misc_RNA from 1 species